rnacentral:rRNA from 1 species
CCUACGGGAGGCAGCAGUGGGGAAUAUUGCACAAUGGGGGAAACCCUGAUGCAGCGACGCCGCGUGAGUGAAGAAGUAUUUCGGUACGUAAAGCUCUAUCAGCAGGGAAGAAAAUGACGGUACCUGACUAAGAAGCCCCGGCUAACUACGUGCCAGCAGCCGCGGUAAUACGUAGGGGGCAAGCGUUAUCCGGAUUUACUGGGUGUAAAGGGAGCGUAGACGGCAGCGCAAGUCUGGAGUGAAAUCCCAUGGCUUAACCAUGGAACUGCUUUGGAAACUGUGCAGCUAGAGUGCAGGAGAGGUAAGCGGAAUUCCUAGUGUAGCGGUGAAAUGCGUAGAUAUUAGGAGGAACACCAGGGGCGAAGGCGGCUUACUGGACUGUAACUGACGUUGAGGCUCGAAAGCGUGGGGAGCAAACAGGAUUAGAUACCCGGGUAGUC